rnacentral:rRNA from 1 species
UACAGAGGGCGCAAGCGUUGUUCGGAUUUACUGGGCGUAAAGGGUGCGUAGGUGGCGGGGUAAGUCUGGUGUGAAAGCUCCGAGCUCAACUCGGAAAAGCAUUGGAAACUAUCCCGCUUGAGGGUCGGAGGGGAGACUGGAAUUCUCGGUGUAGCAGUGAAAUGCGUAGAUAUCGAGAGGAACACCAGUGGCGAAGGCGAGUCUCUGGACGACUCCUGACACUGAGGCACGAAAGCUAGGGGAGCAAACAGG